rnacentral:tRNA from 1 species
UGGUUCAGUGGUAGAAUUCUUGCAUUCCACGUAGGAGGCCUGGGUUCGAUUCCUAG